rnacentral:rRNA from 1 species
UACGUAGGGGGCGAGCGUUGUCCGGAGUUACUGGGCGUAAAGCGCACGCAGGCGGUCUGCUAAGUUUUGGAGUGACAGUUGGUGGCUUAACUGCCAAAGUGCUUCGAAAACUGACAGACUUGAGGGCUUCAGAGGGACACGGAAUUCCGGGUGGAGUGGUGAAAUGCGUAGAGAUCCGGAGGAACACCAAAGGCGAAGGCAGUGUCCUGGGGAGUACCUGACGCUCAGGUGCGAAAGCCAGGGGAGCGAACGGG